rnacentral:misc_RNA from 1 species
UUGAGGGCCACUUGGAAUGGAACCUGUGAGCUCAUUGUUGCUCAACUGCAAGUCGGUCAACUGUGAAAGCUUUCCAAAUGUCUGAGGUAUUUCUCCUGAAAGCCUAUUGUGAGACGAGUCUAAACUCUCUAAAUUAUCCAUUUCACCCAGUGUUUUCGGUAUUCUACCUGAGAGCUUGUUGCGGGACAUGUUUAAUAUUUUCAAAUUUCUCAAACAACCCAAUGUAUUAGGAAUUUAACCUGAUAAUUGAUUGUUUGAUAAAUCCAAAAAGGUGUACAGACGAAGGUGUUGGCCGGGAAGAUCUCGCAUCAAAUUUUUCCAAUAUACUUCUAAAUCAGGAUAUACAAGACUGACAUAAUAUUCCAGCGGCUGUAGACAAGUUUAUCCAGGUGAAGUAAUGAAGCAUCGGAAUUAGGAUUAAUCAUUCCACUAAGAUUUCCCAAACCAGGUGUCACUUCUCCGCUGAAGUCAUUGUCAGAGAGAUCAAGUAUUUG